rnacentral:siRNA from 1 species
UUGGGUUCCCUAUGUGCACUA